GAGGGUACAGCUCAGUGGUGGAGUGUGUGCUUAGCAUGCACAAGGUCCAGGGUUCAAUCCUCAGUACCUCCA
rnacentral:tRNA from 1 species